AGAAGCCACGCCCCCUCUGGCCGCCCACGCGCCACGGCCCAAAAACAAGAGCGCGGGGAAGGGCGAGCGGGGGCUUAGGAACUCCAUCCACCUCAUCACAUUGAGAGGGGAAAGCAGCACGGGUGGCUGUCCCUUUAAGGGAGAGUGUCGCCCCUUUGGAGUUCGGCCUCCCACAACAGACUCCCACAUGGAAACUUAGCGGCUGGCAGUACAUUCAUCUCACAUUCAUCGCAAGUCUGUCAUCUGGAUCAGAAGGCGGGAGCCAUGGAAGAGCAAGAGGAGCUUCUGGUGCAGCAUGCACUUUCCUAUAUGUAAAUAUUCCCUUCCCUUGUAAAUAUCACCUCUCCUAACAACAUCCUCCACAUAUUUACUGUAAAAGUGUUGUUUAAUAAAAUAUUUUUUGCAAAAGA